CCCUUAGAUGGUCUGGGCGGCACGCGCGCUACAAUGAUGCGUUCAAAAAGUCUUCUGACCUUAGAAGGUUGGGUAUUCUCCAAAGUGCAUCGUGAUGGGAAUAGUUUAUUGCAAUUUUUAAUCUUGAACGAGGAAUUCCUAGUAAGUACAGGUCAUCAACUUGUGUUGAUUACGUCCCUGCCCUUUGUACACACCGCCCGUCGCUCCUACUGAUUGAGUGUCUCGGUGAAUUCUUUGAUCUUCUGUCGAUUCAGUUCACUGAUCCGACGGUGGAAAGUUGAAUGAACUUCGUCACUUAGAGGAAGGAGAAGUCGUAACA
rnacentral:rRNA from 1 species